CAGUCGCCGCGGGAAUACGGAGGGAGCUAGCGUUAUUCGGAAUUACUGGGCGUAAAGCGCACGUAGGCGGCUUUGUAAGUUAGAGGUGAAAGCCUGGUGCUCAACACCAGAACUGCCUUUGAUACUGCAUCGCUUGAAUCCAGGAGAGGUGAGUGGAAUUCCGAGUGUAGAGGUGAAAUUCGUAGAUAUUCGGAAGAACACCAGUGGCGAAGGCGGCUCACUGGACUGGUAUUGACGCUGAGGUGCGAAAGCGUGGGGAGCAAACAGGAUUAGAUACCCCGGUAGUCCCUGUCUCUUAUAC
rnacentral:rRNA from 1 species